GUCUUUUAGCCCAUUUGGUCUAUCAUCAAAAAGAAAGGAAAGAGAAAAGACCAAGCCAAAAGAAGAGUAAUUAAUUUUUGAAGACAUGGAAAUCAAAAGAGAUAGAGAAGCCCCACAACUGUAGUAUUUAGAAAACUUUAUAUUUUCCCAAUUGGAACUAUAUAUGAAUGUUUUAGCUAAGUCUCAGCACCAAAAUUUUCCCCGGUUUUAAAUACGCUGCAGUGCCUAUGCAUUAACAAUAUAAGUUGGUAAUGGGAGAAGAAGAAGAAAAGAAAGAAGGAGUCACUAGUUCCGGCAAUCAUGUGGCUUUAGAAGUUGAAGCUCCUGAAACUCAUCAUCAGAUUGGCCAAGGUCCAUCUCCCUGCACGUGCAUGCUCCUCUCUUGUUUUCCGACCCUCUUUUUUCUAAUUGGCAUUUGUUUCAUCAGACUGACAAAUACUCAAACUAAUCGACAAUGAUUCAUUCAUUCAAGUGGGAGUUCUUUUGUGUACUGGUUUGAACAGUGCUUACGCGCUUGGAUAUGCUGGUGUAACCAUGAUACCUUUGGGAUGGAUUGGAGGUGUGAUUGGUUUGAUGUUAGAAGCAGUGAUAUCAUUAUAUGCUAAUGCUCUAAUUGCCAAGAUUCAUGAAUAUGGGGGAAAGAGGCAUAUCAGAUAUAGAGACCUUGCUGGAUUCAUAUAUGGUCAGAAAGCUUAUGUAGUUGUUUGGGGAUUACAGUAUGCAAAUCUAUUCUUGAUAAAUAUUGGAUAUAUCAUUUUGGGUGGACAGGCAUUGAAGGUAAGAUAUUCUGCAUUGUGAGAACAUAUUAAUCAUAAAUUGACUUAUUUUAGGUUAAUGGAAAAUCUAUUGCACC